rnacentral:rRNA from 1 species
UGGGGAAUAUUGCACAAUGGACGAAAGUCUGAUGCAGCAACGCCGCGUGGAGGAUGACACCUUUCGGUUCGUAAACUCCUUUUAUAGAGGAAGAUAAUGACGGUACCAUAUGAAGAAGCCCCGGCUAACUCCGUGCCAGCAGCCGCGGUAAUACGGAGGGGGCAAGCGUUACUCGGAAUCACUGGGCGUAAAGAGCGUGUAGGCGGAUAUAUAAGUCAGAAGUGAAAUCCAAGAGCUUAACUAUUGAACUGCUUUUGAAACUGUAUAUCUAGAAGGUGGGAGAGGUAGAUGGAAUUUCUGGUGUAGGGGUAAAAUCCGUAGAGAUCAGAAGGAAUACCGAUUGCGAAGGCGAUCUACUGGAACAUUAUUGACGCUGAGACGCGAAAGCGUGGGGAGCAAACA